GGAAAGUAGAGAGGGAAAGGUAGGAAGGGGAAAGGUCGCCUCUCGCAGCUGAGGCGGGCGGUCAGUUGUCCGCUGACGUCGCUGCCGAUCGGACGCCGCCGAGCACGCUGUCUGCGCCCAUACGGUGCGACGGAGAAGAUCCGGAAAAUUAAAAAGGGCGUGAAAAGUCGAAAAGGCCGCAAGAAGUCCCGAAGCCUUCACCGUGAGGUAUUGCUGCGGCAGUUGCUCAAAAAGUGGUCCUGGCUCGACGACUCUCAAAGAAGCACCUCAAGCGACGAAGAGGACAGCGAUGACAACGAUUGUGGGCCUUCUUUACCCGUUGUCCCUGGCUCCGCCGUGAAGCGUGGGCGAAAUGAUUGUGAUGAUGGAGAGCCUGGCCCGUCCAAGCGCC